UCUUUUAUGGGGUGACUGCGUACCUUUUGUAUAAUGGGUCAGCGACUUAUAUUCUGUAGCAAGGUUAACCGAAUAGGGGAGCCGAAGGGAAACCGAGUCUUAACCGGGCGUUAAGUUGCAGGGUAUAGACCCGAAACCCGGUGAUCUAGCCAUGGGCAGGUUGAAGGUUGGGUAACACUAACUGGAGGACCGAACCGACUAAUGUUGAAAAAUUAGCGGAUGACUUGUGGCUGGGGGUGAAAGGCCAAUCAAACCGGGAGAUAGCUGGUUCUCCCCGAAAGCUAUUUAGGUAGCGCCUCGUGAAUUCAUCUCCGGGGGUAGAGCACUGUUUCGGCAAGGGGGUCAUCCCGACUUACCAACCCGAUGCAAACUGCGAAUACCGGAGAAUGUUAUCACGGGAGACACACGGCGGGUGCUAACGUCCGUCGUGAAGAGGGAAACAACCCAGACCGCCAGCUAAGGUCCCAAAGUCAUGGUUAAGUGGGAAACGAUGUGGGAAGGCCCAGACAGCCAGGAUGUUGGCUUAGAAGCAGCCAUCAUUUAAAGAAAGCGUAAUAGCUCACUGGUCGAGUCGGCCUGCGCGGAAGAUGUAACGGGGCUAAACCAUGCACCGAAGCUGCGGCAGCGACACUGUGUGUUGUUGGGUAGGGGAGCGUUCUGUAAGCCUGUGAAGGUGUGCUGUGAGGCAUGCUGGAGGUAUCAGAAGUGCGAAUGCUGACAUAAGUAACGAUAAAGCGGGUGAAAAGCCCGCUCGCCGGAAGACCAAGGGUUCCUGUCCAACGUUAAUCGGGGCAGGGUGAGUCGACCCCUAAGGCGAGGCCGAAAGGCGUAGUCGAUGGGAAACAGGUUAAUAUUCCUGUACUUGGUGUUACUGCGAAGGGGGGACGGAGAAGGCUAUGUUGGCCGGGCGACGGUUGUCCCGGUUUAAGCGUGUAGGCUGGUUUUCCAGGCAAAUCCGGAAAAUCAAGGCUGAGGCGUGAUGACGAGGCACUACGGUGCUGAAGCAACAAAUGCCCUGCUUCCAGGAAAAGCCUCUAAGCAUCAGGUAACAUCAAAUCGUACCCCAAACCGACACAGGUGGUCAGGUAGAGAAUACCAAGGCGCUUGAGAGAACUCGGGUGAAGGAACUAGGCAAAAUGGUGCCGUAACUUCGGGAGAAGGCACGCUGAUAUGUAGGUGAAGUCCCUCGCGGAUGGAGCUGAAAUCAGUCGAAGAUACCAGCUGGCUGCAACUGUUUAUUAAAAACACAGCACUGUGCAAACACGAAAGUGGACGUAUACGGUGUGACGCCUGCCCGGUGCCGGAAGGUUAAUUGAUGGGGUCAGCGCAAGCGAAGCUCUUGAUCGAAGCCCCGGUAAACGGCGGCCGUAACUAUAACGGUCCUAAGGUAGCGAAAUUCCUUGUCGGGUAAGUUCCGACCUGCACGAAUGGCGUAAUGAUGGCCAGGCUGUCUCCACCCGAGACUCAGUGAAAUUGAACUCGCUGUGAAGAUGCAGUGUACCCGCGGCAAGACGGAAAGACCCCGUGAACCUUUACUAUAGCUUGACACUGAACAUUGAGCCUUGAUGUGUAGGAUAGGUGGGAGGCUUUGAAGUGUGGACGCCAGUCUGCAUGGAGCCGACCUUGAAAUACCACCCUUUAAUGUUUGAUGUUCUAACGUGGACCCGUGAUCCGGGUUGCGGACAGUGUCUGGUGGGUAGUUUGACUGGGGCGGUCUCCUCCUAAAGAGUAACGGAGGAGCACGAAGGUUGGCUAAUCCUGGUCGGACAUCAGGAGGUUAGUGCAAUGGCAUAAGCCAGCUUGACUGCGAGCGUGACGGCGCGAGCAGGUGCGAAAGCAGGUCAUAGUGAUCCGGUGGUUCUGAAUGGAAGGGCCAUCGCUCAACGGAUAAAAGGUACUCCGGGGAUAACAGGCUGAUACCGCCCAAGAGUUCAUAUCGACGGCGGUGUUUGGCACCUCGAUGUCGGCUCAUCACAUCCUGGGGCUGAAGUAGGUCCCAAGGGUAUGGCUGUUCGCCAUUUAAAGUGGUACGCGAGCUGGGUUUAGAACGUCGUGAGACAGUUCGGUCCCUAUCUGCCGUGGGCGCUGGAGAACUGAGGGGGGCUGCUCCUAGUACGAGAGGACCGGAGUGGACGCAUCACUGGUGUUCGGGUUGUCAUGCCAAUGGCACUGCCCGGUAGCUAAAUGCGGAAGAGAUAAGUGCUGAAAGCAUCUAAGCACGAAACUUGCCCCGAGAUGAGUUCUCCCUGACCCUUUAAGGGUCCUGAAGGAACGUUGAAGACGACGACGUUGAUAGGCCGGGUGUGUAAGCGCAGCGAUGCGUUGAGCUAACCGGUACUAAUGAACCGUGAGGCUUAACCUU
rnacentral:rRNA from 1 species